UACAGAGGUCUCAAGCGUUGUUCGGAUUCAUUGGGCGUAAAGGGUGCGUAGGCGGCGCGGUAAGUCGGGUGUGAAAUCUCGGAGCUUAACUUCGAAACUGCAUUCGGAUACUGCCGUGCUUGAGGACUGGAGAGGAGACUGGAAUUUACGGUGGUAGCGGUGAAAUGCGUAGAUAUCGUAAGGAAGACCAGUGGCGAAGGCGGGUCUC
rnacentral:rRNA from 1 species